CCGGUUAUGACAUUUAUUAUCCGGAUAAACUGUUUAAGUACUAGAUAUUGUGAAUAGAAUAAACCGGUUUUAGCUACGGAUAAAAUUAUUUUUAUGUAACUAGGGAUUUCUUCUUAAAACAAUAGUGUGUCAUCUUUCUUUCGACUUGUAAUCUGGAUAAAAAAACUAAGACUGGUAUAUUAAAAUGAUUAAAUAAGGUAUAUAGUAAACUCUGCCAGUUGAAAUAUGACUGAUUAUAUCGUUGUUAUUUGGAUAAUCUAUAACAUAAGACUAUAAGUUUUCUGAGUAUGUUAAACAUAAAACCGGAUAUUAACAAUAGUAUCUCGAUUCUAGGAAACAGAAGGAUAAACUCAAUGAUAACUAGAUAACAACUACAUAGCUACUUAGUUAUUAGAAUAUGAUAUCAAAUAUGCUAACGGGAUGCAUUUGUCAUACACAAUCACCGAAACACAAAUUUUAUGUUUUUUCCCUGUGUUUAUCCUUCUCAAAGUUUUGAACCAUCUGUGUAAGCCUUGAAUCUUGGUAAAAAAAGUUAAGCUAUGUUUGAUCUGUCUUAUCUAGCUUGAGACCCCUCCAAUCGAAUCAAGAAAAUGACGGGAAAGAUUGUGAAGUGAGACCUACUGAGGGACACCAAAACAGUCUUGCUUUGUAAAAAAAAUUAUGAAUCUGAACAAAGUAAAACAGACCAACUCACAUGGUAACCCAUCUGAAAGAACGUUAAGGUAAAGAUGCUUCUUAGAGAACUCUGCUGGUAACACAACCCCCAUGCCAAUCAUAAAUGGGGAAAGGACCACAACUAAAUAACAAUAAAAAGAAAGAUACAAACUGUAAACCUUUUUCAGCCAUCACUUUAAGCAAAGUGAAUAUGGGAGAGAGAACCUGAGCAACAAGCAUGAGAGGAGAUUGGGUAGAACAAGGGUUUGAGGAGGAGAUUGACCCAUGAGCUCAGACGGAGGUGCGGAGGAAGAAGAAGACAUGCGAUGUUGACGAGAGUUAAUCUCAGCACAGUUGUUGUUGGUUUUGUCUCUCGCGUUCUUGGUGCCCAUAUCUGAGAGAGACAGAGAGGAUACAGACAAACAGUAAUCUAAUGCUUGUGUGUGUGUGGACGGAACAUGACCGGAUUUAAAGGUCUUGGAACUGCUUGACGGUGAGGUCUUCGUAUUUGAUGGUGGCGAGGAGGUGGUGAUUCUCGAGGUGGGACUUGACGGAGCCUACGGUUUUUCUUUUGUUGUUAAACGAGACACGGGAAUUUUGAUGAAAGGGAGAAGAGUGUCCUUUGGGGAGUUGGAUCUCAAACUAUAUUUUUAGAGGAUAAUACGUAUAGAUCUCGAAAAUGAUAAGUGACGAAAUUUAGUUAGAGAGAGGAAUAUCAGAUUAUCAGGUGAGCUAGAAUAACUUCAAAAUUGAAUGUUUUUAGUUUCAGAUGUCAAGAGAUGGCGUGAAGUAGUAGAGUUCAGUAGGGUAAUAAUUACAACUACUUUAUCAUGUAUAACUGCAGAGAAGCUCAAUGUGUCAGACUCGCCUGAGAUCUAGUGUAGGGGCAAGGAUGGAAUUAUGAAAGUGUAAAAGUGUCAUAACCAUUCACCUAGUAACGUUUUGUUUUAUGGUCAUCGGCUGCAAUUACUCUAAGAAGUAACCAAAAUCUGAAAAUAUAAUUUAAAAAAGAAAUAAUUUAUGUAUAUAUUGUAUUGUUGUCUGAAAAAGUUUUUUAGUUAAAAGUUAAAAACAUAAAUUAUAUAAAUAAAUAUUAAUCAAAUAAAAUUCUUAAUUAUAUAAUUAAAAAUGGAAUAUUGAAUUAUCCAAAAUCUAACAAUAUAAUUAAAAAAAAAAGAUAAUCACAAUACUAAAAGGGGGAUUUCCUCUCCCCUUAAGCAUGCCACGUCAUUUUAUUUAAUCGACCAAUCAGAGCUUUUUAAUUUCGGAUUGGGCUUCGGAUUUGAUUUUAUGGGCUUCGUUUCAAUUACAGGUUAUGGGUCUUUUUGUUUUGCCGUACAAUUUUGUUUUUCCUAAACCUAGCUCUCUACGGGAGGAAGUCGCGAGACUGCGAGGCUCUUCUCCUCAUCCCAAUUCACUUCGUCUUCUCACCUUUAAACCGUAGACCAAUCAGCUCCACUUCUCCGAUUUGAAGGCUGGUCGUUUGGAUGACAGAGUUGUCACAAGUCUUCUUCGUUUUUGGGAGGCUAGGAACGUUAAGAAAUCUGGUGAGCUUAUGAGUGUGGAUUUCAUGCUCCUCAAUGAGAAGUGCCGUCGAUAUUCCAAGAUUAGGGGGAAGAAAGUCACAGUUGGUCUUAUCUCUGCAACCCCUCUGAACGCAACACUACUCUUUCCAACGGAGGCGUUAAAACCUAGAUUGCUCUUUUUUAGGCUGCAACCUGAUACUUGGUGUGAGGCGGGAAGCUCGCAAGGUGUGAAGCGUGAAAGUGAGACUGAAACUGAAACGGAUGCCUGACUCAGAGAACCGGCUAGCUUCUCUUUGAUUUUUUUUUUCUAUCAUAUAUAUGGCUUAACAAUCUUAUGCUUUUCGAAAAGGUUUGGAGAAAAUCCAUGGUUACAAUAGAAAUAUAGAGCCACCACUGUGACGACAUUUAAAACAAUUGGAGGCAAUGCAGAGAAGAUUGCUGGUUAGUAGUUCCGGUCACUGGUGAGGUAACAAUGGUGUAGAAACUCUCGAGAGUUCUUUUGUGGGUUCAAAAAGAAAACAUGGCAAUGGUGGUGAAACACAUUUCAAUGAGCUUAGCAAUGGAGACACUGGGAAAACAGCUAUGGUUUCAAGAGGAGAGUUGACUUUUCAAAAUAUUUACGGUGCAGAGGCAUUGCUGAAUGCAGAAGAUGAGGACGGCUAUAGUGAUUGGGAACCUCUGCAGCAGAAGAUGCUAGUUGAGUUUGUGAAAUGGUGUUGCUUCAAUUGCACUAUGGCAAAUCCUGGUGAUAUGGUUCAUUGUUAUGUAUAUUUUGCUUACUUUUUCAUGUUUGAAUAAUUUUGUUUCUGAUCUUAUCAUUACCAGCGUCUGCAAUUACUUGGCUGAGGCAUGGAUAUUUUGCAUCUCUGUUAUUUAAAAGACACUGGUCUCUCACCGAAGUCGAAGAGAAAUGUGGAGGAAAUUCAUCUGCAGCUAGCUCAACAGCUGUUGGUUUUGAGGAGAUAAUGUUGCUGCACUCAGAAGUAUGAAUUUGUACCUGUUAUAGUUUCAUGAGAUAUCUGUUGACGUCAAUACAAUUUAUUUACCUCCAAAGCUUUUCUUCGUGCAAUUAUUUCGCAAGAGCUCCAGAUGGUCUACACUUUAGAGCAUGUUAAUUUCACAAGCCAGCUUCUCUAUAGCUACUUCACCGCCGACACAUACUAAUAAGUAUUGAGCACCUGCUGCUAAUCUAGCAGCAGGUUUGUGUGCUGAUCUAGCUAAGGAAAUUUCCUCAUGAUAAAAUGUUAAUCAGCCGGGAACUUAGAAGCUCAUUAUGAUUAAGCUCAGGUCAGAUUGCAGUUUUGGUGAGCCUGACAUGAACUGCUCGACAAGUUCGACAAAGUAUGGGGGUGUUCAGAAAAUUUAAACUAUGACGGUCUCUGAGCUAAACGCUUAUGUCCUCCAUUGUCAACCGCAUGUGCAUUCCGUUCCUGGUCCAUUCUGCUAAAUGUUAUCACAACAAUAUACAUAUUACACACAUGUAAUAUUACGUCUACAUCUUCAGUUGAUUAUUUUGUUCUGGUACUUAUCUUUUACCAGCUUAAACUUUAACGGUUUCGAUAGAUAAAUGUUUGGUUUAUCUCA